AGAGCGAACGCUGGCGGCAGGCUUAACACAUGCAAGUCGAACGGAUCCUUCGGGAUUAGUGGCGGACGGGUGAGUAACACGUGGGAACGUGCCUUUUGGUUCGGAACAACACAGGGAAACUUGUGCUAAUACCGAAUGUGCCCUUCGGGGGAAAGAUUUAUCGCCAUUAGAGCGGCCCGCGUCUGAUUAGCUAGUUGGUGAGGUAAAGGCUCACCAAGGCUACGAUCAGUAGCUGGUCUGAGAGGAUGAUCAGCCACAUUGGGACUGAGACACGGCCCAAACUCCUACGGGAGGCAGCAGUGGGGAAUCUGCGCAAUGGGGGAAACCCUGACGCAGCCAUGCCGCGUGAAUGAUGAAGGUCUUAGGAUUGUAAAAUUCUUUCAGCGGGACGAUAAUGACGGUACCGCAGAAGAAGCUCCGGCUAACUUCGUGCCAGCAGCCGC
rnacentral:rRNA from 1 species